UACGUAGGGUGCAAGCGUUAUCCGGAAUUAUUGGGCGUAAAGAGCUCGUAGGCGGUUUGUCGCGUCUGCUGUGAAAACUGGAGGCUCAACCUCCAGCCUGCAGUGGGUACGGGCAGACUAGAGGUGCGGGUAGGGGAGAUUGGAAUUCCUGGUGUAAGCGGUGGAAUCGCAGAUAUCAGGAGGAACACCGAUGGCGAAGGCAGAUCUCUGGGCCGUA
rnacentral:rRNA from 1 species